AGUGAACGCUGGCGGUAGGCCUAACACAUGCAAGUCGAACGGCAGCACAGUAAGAGCUUGCUCUUACGGGUGGCGAGUGGCGGACGGGUGAGGAAUACAUCGGAAUCUACUUUUUCGUGGGGGAUAACGUAGGGAAACUUACGCUAAUACCGCAUACGACCUACGGGUGAAAGCAGGGGAUCUUCGGACCUUGCGCGAUUGAAUGAGCCGAUGUCGGAUUAGCUAGUUGGCGGGGUAAAGGCCAACCAAGGCGACGAUCCGUAGCUGGUCUGAGAGGAGGAUCAGCCACACUGGAACUGAGACGCGGUCCAGACUCCUCCGGGAGGCAGCGGUGGGGAAUAUUGGACAAUGGGCGCAAGCCUGAUCCAGCCAUACCGCGUGGGUGAAGAAGGCCUUCGGGUUGUAAAGCCCUUUUGUUGGGAAAGAAAAGCAGCAGGUUAAUACCCCGCUGUUCUGACGGUACCCAAAGAAUAAGCACCGGCUAACUUCGUG
rnacentral:rRNA from 1 species